UUAAACAAGACUUUAAUGCCUCAAUUCGGUUAGUUAAUAUUUAAGAGAGCUAUAUAUGAGACAGUAAAGCACACACAAUGUUGUGGGAGAAGGGUUGUUGGGGAGAAAUGCUCCGAAUAUAUACUUUCAACUGGUCAAAGUGUCACCCCACAGACUCACAGUUACUCUAAUUAAUGCCCUCGGGGGUCUGGGUCCCCAUAUUGGGCUGUCCUCAGGGGGUCUGGGUCCCCAUGUUGGACUCUAGUGUAAUUAAUGCCCUCAGGGGGUUUUGGUCCCCAUGUUGGGCAAUCCUCAGGGGGUUUGGGUCCCCAUGUUGGACUCUAGUGUAAUUACUGCCCUCAGGGGGUUUGGGUCCCCAUGUUGGGCGGUCCUCAGGGGGUUUGGGUCCCCAUGUUGGACUCUAAUGCAAUUAAUGCCCUCAGGGGGUCUGGGUCCCCAUGUUGGGCAUGAUAUAUACUUCAAUCUAACAUUUUUAAUGUAUGGUACAUCGAUUUGUGAGUCUAUGGGAUGAGGGUGACCUAUGGGAGCACUCCAUCCCCAAAACCAAAAAUUUUUUAUUUUCCAAAACCUUCCACAUAUUUUACAAGUAGUAACUAUUCUACUGUUCAGUAAACGCUGCGAGCAUUGCAGUCCAUGCUAGUCUGUCUUGAUAAUGACCCAUGCAAUAUAACAACAGGCUAUAAUACAGUUUUUUUUUUGUUUUUUUUUCCCUACUAAGCUAUGAUAAAGUGGUGCAACAUCAUUGAUGGGUGGGGUGGGUGGAAUUUAAGCAAUUUUUUCGCUGUGAAGUGUCCUUCACUUUGGCUCACCGGCAACACAAUGAAGCCUGUAGCCCAGGCAGGAAGCAUAAGCAAACAAAACAGUUGGACCUGAUUGGUCUAUUUUCCCACAUGCAUGGGAAGAAGUGUUUGACAGUGGCUCAUUGUUAUUUACCGAGUGCUUUGCACGUGAGUGAUCACGCGUUUUAAGACUGACCUUUGUGCCUAACCUGGUCAAAUAAAAGGACUUUGCACAACUUUGGUUAUAUCCGAACGCUUGUUUCAUUAACUUAAGUUUAUAAUGCCUAUGGGCACGUAUAAACUUGCUUU